GAGACAGAGUCUUGCUCUGUCGCCCAGGCUGGAGUGCAACGUGAGCCAAGAUCGCGCCAUUGCAGUCUAGCCUGUGCAACAAGAGCGAAACUCCAUCUCAAAAAAAAAAAAAACAAAAACAAAAAAACAAAAAUCCGGCCGGGCACUGUGGCUCUCACCUGUAGUCCUAGUACUUUGGGAGGCCAAGGCAAGAGGAUCAAUUGAGACCAACCUGGGCCAUAUAGGGAAACCCUGUGUCUACAAAAAACAGCAACACAAAAACUAUCCAGGCAUGGUGGCACACACCUCUAGUCCCAGCUGCUCGAGAGGCUGAGGCGGGAGGAUCGCUUGAGUCCGGGAGGUUGAGGCUGCCAUGAGCCUAUUAUGGCAUUGGACUCCAGUCUGGGUGACAGAGCCAGACCCUGUCUCCAAAAAAGAAAAAGAAA
rnacentral:lncRNA from 1 species